AUUGAACGCUGGCGGCAUGCCUAACACAUGCCAGUCGAGCGGAGCGGCGGACGGGUGAGUAAUGCAUAGGAAUCUGCCUGGUAGUGGGGGAUAACGUCCGGAAACGGGCGCUAAUACCGCAUACUAUCAGAUGAGCCGAGGGCGGAUUAGCUCGUUGGUGGGGUAAACGCCUACCAAGGCGACGAUCCGUAACUGGUCUGAGCGGAUGAUCAGUCAACCUGGAAAUGAGACACGGGCCAGACGCCUACGGGAGGCAGAAGUGGGGAAGAUUGGAAAAUGGGGGAAAGCCGGAUCCAGACAUGCAGCGUGUGGGAAGAAGGUCUGCGGAUGGUAAAGCACUUUAAGUUGGGAGGCGUUACCAACAGAAUAAGCACCGGCUAACGUCGGGCCAGCCGCCGCGGUAAUUC
rnacentral:rRNA from 1 species